UUAACUUGUUUAAAUUUAACAGUAAUCAGACUUCAUGAUUUAAAAUAAAAUGGUUUAAAUGGGCUAUCGGCAGCCUUACCAACUCCCCCGCGAGGGGGAGCGCGCUGCCGAAGCAAAAAAUAUAAAGUUCACAAAGGGUUAAAGGGACUCAAGCACUCAAAGCCUUGCGGCAGAGAGGAGAGGAGUAAUACGCUGGGUUGCGCAUGUACCUUUUUUAAUGAUCCUUCCGCAGGUUCACCUACGGAAA
rnacentral:misc_RNA from 1 species